rnacentral:tRNA from 1 species
CGCCAGUUAGCCUAGUGGUAAGGCUUAGGAUCGCCAAUCCGGAGACGGCGGGUUCGAUUCCCGUUCCGGUCG